ACGAACGCUGGCGGCGUGCUUAACACAUGCAAGUCGAACGGAAAGGCCCUGCUUUUGUGGGGUGCUCGAGUGGCGAACGGGUGAGUAACACGUGAGUAACCUGCCCUUGACUUUGGGAUAACUUCAGGAAACUGGGGCUAAUACCGGAUAGGAGCUCCUGCUGCAUGGUGGGGGUUGGAAAGUUUCGGCGGUUGGGGAUGGACUCGCGGCUUAUCAGCUUGUUGGUGGGGUAGUGGCUUACCAAGGCUUUGACGGGUAGCCGGCCUGAGAGGGUGACCGGCCACAUUGGGACUGAGAUACGGCCCAGACCCCUACGGGAGGCAGCAGUGGGGAAUAUUGCACAAUGGGCGGAAGCCUGAUGCAGCAACGCCGCGUGCGGGAUGACGGCCUUCGGGUUGUAAACCGCUUUCGCCUGAGACGAAGCGUGAGUGACGGUAAUGGGUAAAGAAGCACCGGCUAACUACGUG
rnacentral:rRNA from 1 species